GUUAACUUUACUUGAUGAUCAGAGGUGGGAUCCAGAGAAAACCUGAGGCUGGUGAGCAAACAGAAAAUCCCCAAAGAGGAAAAUGCCAUCCCUGUGAUUUGGAGAAAAGGAACUUGGUCAGAUACUAAGAACAGGACCUGGUCUAGCAGCAGAGCCCGGCGCUCACCCUGGGUCAUGCGUCAGUCCUGUGGGAGCCAGCAUUGGACAGCACCUUCCCGAUGAAAUCUGAGGCACGCUGGCAGCUGCCUGGCAGGAAAGGCGCCGGAGACCGCACCUCCCAGAAGGUGGCGGUUUCAAAGUGAGUGCUGUGUUUCCAUGGACUCCUCAAGGAAAA